rnacentral:rRNA from 1 species
AUACGUAGGGUGCGAGCGUUGUCCGGAAUUACUGGGCGUAAAGAGCUCGUAGGUGGUUUGUCGCGUCGUCUGUGAAAUUCCGGGGCUUAACUCCGGGCGUGCAGGCGAUACGGGCAUAACUUGAGUACUGUAGGGGAGACUGGAAUUCCUGGUGUAGCGGUGAAGUGCGCAGAUAUCAGGAGGAACACCGGUGGCGAAGGCGGGUCUCUUGGCAGUAACUGACGCUGAGGAGCGAAAGCAUGGGUAGCGAACAGGAUUAGAUACCCUGGUAGUCCAUGCCGUAAACGGUGGGCGCUAGGUGUAGGGGUCUUCCACGACUUCUGUGCCGUAGCUAACGCAUUAAGCGCCCCGCCUGGGGAGUACGGCCGCAAGGCUAAAACUCAAAUGAAUUGACGGGG